rnacentral:tRNA from 1 species
GGCGGAGUCAGCUAAUGAAGCUCUCGGGCCCAUACCCCGAAAAUGAAGGUUAAACCCCUUCCCCCUCCA